GGACCCGUGGCCUAGUCUGGAUAUGGCACAACCCUCCUAAGGUUGGGAACGUGAGUUCGAAUCUCACCGGGUCCG
rnacentral:tRNA from 1 species